GCAGGUCAUAGUGAUCCGGUGGUUCUGAAUGGAAGGGCCAUCGCUCAACGGAUAAAAGGUACUCCGGGGAUAACAGGCUGAUACCGCCCAAGAGUUCAUAUCGACGGCGGUGUUUGGCACCUCGAUGUCGGCUCAUCACAUCCUGGGGCUGAAGUAGGUCCCAAGGGUAUGGCUGUUCGCCAUUUAAAGUGGUACGCGAGCUGGGUUUAGAACGUCGUGAGACAGUUCGGUCCCUAUCUGCCGUGGGCGCUGGAGAACUGAGGGGGGCUGCUCCUAGUACGAGAGGACCGGAGUGGACGCAUCACUGGUGUUCGGGUUGUCAUGCCAAUGGCACUGCCCGGUAGCUAAAUGCGGAAGAGAUAAGUGCUGAAAGCAUCUAAGCACGAAACUUGCCCCGAGAUGAGUUCUCCCUGAGACUUAGAGUCUCCUGAAGGAACGUUGAAGACGACGACGUUGAUAGGCCGGGUGUGUAAGCGCAGCGAUGCGUUGA
rnacentral:rRNA from 1 species